rnacentral:rRNA from 1 species
AACGAACGCUUGCGGCAUGCCUAACACAUGCAAGUCGAACGAGAUCUUCGGGUCUAGUGGCGCACGGGUGCGUAACGCGUGGGAAUCUGCCCUUUGGUUCGGAAUAAUAGUUGGAAACGACUGCUAAUACCGGAUGAUGACGAAAGUCCAAAGAUUUAUCGCCAGAGGAUGAGCCCGCGUAGGAUUAGCUAGUUGGUGUGGUAAAGGCGCACCAAGGCGACGAUCCUUAGCUGGUCUGAGAGGAUGAUCUGCCACACUGGGACUGAGACACGGCCCAGACUCCUACGGGAGGCAGCAGUGGGGAAUAUUGGACAAUGGGCGAAAGCCUGAUCCAGCAAUGCCGCGUGAGUGAUGAAGGCCUUAGGGUUGUAAAGCUCUUUUACCCGGGAUGAUAAUGACAGUACCGGGAGAAUAAGCUCCGGCUAACUCCGUGCCAGCCGCCGCCGUAAGAC